rnacentral:rRNA from 1 species
GACGAACGCUGGCGGCGUGCUUAACACAUGCAAGUCGAACGCAGUGGCGAACGGGUGAGGAACGCGUAAUCAACCUGCCCUUCAGAGGGGGACAACAGUUGGAAACGACUGCUAAUACCCCAUACUGACGGAGGGGCUUGCGUGUGAUUAGCUAGUUGGGGGGGUAACGGCCCACCAAGGCGAUGAUGAGUAGCCGGUCUGAGAGGGUGACCGGCCACAUUGGGACUGAGACACGGACCAGACUCCUACGGGAGGCAGCAGUGGGGAAUCUUCCGCAAUGGACGAAAGCCUGGCGGAGCAACGCCGCGUGAGUGAUGACGGCCUUCGGGGUGUAAAGCUCUGUUAAUCGGGACGCGGUACCGGAAUAGAAAGCCCCGGCUACCUACGUGCCAGCAGCCGCGGUAUAC